rnacentral:rRNA from 1 species
UACGUAGGGUGCGAGCGUUGUCCGGAAUUAUUGGGCGUAAAGAGCUCGUAGGCGGUGUGUCACGUCGGCCGUGAAAACCUGCAGCUUAACUGUGGGCGUGCGGUCGAUACGGGCAUCACUGGAGUUCGGCAGGGGAGACUGGAAUUCCUGGUGUAGCGGUGAAAUGCGCAGAUAUCAGGAGGAACACCGGUGGCGAAGGCAGCUUGCUGGGACGGUACUGACGCUGAGGCGCGAAAGCGUGGGGAGCAAACAGG